rnacentral:lncRNA from 1 species
AGAACCGAAGUCUUAUCAUAAAUCCAAGCACAUUUUAAGAUGGUUCCAUCUCAUUCGGAAGAUAGUCGAAAGACGCGAUGUGAUCGUAAAGCGAGUUGAUACCAUGAAUAAUAUAGUGGAUCUGUUCACUAAGGCCUUGUUAGUGCAGCAGUUUGACCGCCAUCUUGAUUGCAUGGGCAUCAAGUAUAGGGGUGAUUGGCUUUAGUGCAAGUGGG